UAUAAUAAGCCAAUGAAUGAUGAGAAGGGAACAAUGAGGUCAGAGCUGUCAAAGGAACCCAGAAGCCCUGACAGGGAUGUUAGGCCUCUCCUCUGAGUGCCUCGUGGACACCCAUCUCUAGUAACAGUCACUUACCCAUGCAUUUACAUUAGUCAUUUUACUCCACAUGAUCCACUAACCACCUUUCAAUUCCUCUAACCCUCUGGCACCCUGCCUGCUCCACACCACCACACCAACUCUUGGAGAAGUCCAGUCAAUAUAUACUUACUGGAGGCCUAGCAGGCACUGUUCAGGACACUGAGAAUACAAGAGAACAAAAUAGAAUUGGCGCCUGCUUUCAUGGAGCUUAUAUGAUUCAGGGGGUAGGAGGACUGAUAAUAAGCAUGGACACAAAUAAAUAGACUUGUUUAUUUGUGACAGGGCUGUUUGAGCUGUUUUGGAGGAAGAGCUGUGGGGGAAAUUGUAAAACUGGUCACACAUUCUCUAUUUCCUCUCCAAAGGUGGAGUCUAUUUCUCUACCCCUUAAUGCGGGUUAGCCACAUGACUUGCUUAGACCACUGGGACAUUACCAAAUGUGACGCAAGUAGAGGCUUGAGAAAUGCACAUUGGGAGUUCUUUCUCACUGUACUUGGAAGACUGAGCCACUGUGUGAACCAGCCCAGGUUAGUCUGCUGUACAAAGGAGAACUCAGCUGCCCAGCUGCCAGGCAACUGCCAGGCAUGUGGGUAAGGCAAUUCUAGAUCAUCAACUGCCAGCUGACCACUGAUACGAGAGAGCCAUGCACAGACCAGCUGGCCUGGCCCAGGCUAAAAAAAAAAAACCCACCCAACUGACCCAUAGAAUCAUAAUGAAGUCAAAAAUCCUAGUUUCUGGGUGGCAAGAGCUAACUGAUACAACCUCUUUGUGGAGGAGGCACAGUCAGGAGAGGACUAGACCACCUGGGGUCUCUGAAGUAAGCAGGUGAGCAGGUAGAAGGGUCUGCAGAUCUCCUUUCGGUGGUAAGCCUUAGGCUGUACAACCAAUCAGCUUGGAUGCCAGCUUCUCAAAAAGACUGCAGGGCACAGGGAUUCAGAGUUCCAAGACGAGAAUAUGCAUCCUGGCCCUGGCCCUUGUUAGCUGUUGGAUCUAGACAAGAUAAACUUUUCAGAUACCUGGACCGAAUGUAUCCUAUCUAACAACUGUUGUCAAGAAGCUGGUGCUCAAAGAUAUGUUCAUGAACAGGACUUUUGCACAUGCUGUGCUGUGUCUGGGAUGCUCAUCCAACUCUCUGCAUGACAGGACCCCUCUCCUCCUUCAAGUCUCAGCUUAAUUGUCACCUGCUCAGAGAGGGCCCCCCUCCCAUUAUUGUCUAUGUCAGCUCAUUGUUCAUUUCUUUCCUGAUA